GUUCACGUGCGUUGGCCUACUAGUUUUUGUCCAUGGUGUCAAUGGUGGUGGGAGUUUGUGGUGCCAGCCGGGACUGCUCGGAACUGAACUACCCAACCAUCUGAGUAUUGUUAGUGCAUAUUCAUUUGACGGGAUUCAAAGCAGUACAGCCACUGGGUGCUCUUGCUGAAAUGUUGUUAAUCUGAACUGGUCCACAUGACCAGAUGUUCACUUCAUAUACGUGUGAAGUUCGUCUCGUGGGCAAGCUCAAGGUUAGCUAGAGCCGGGUGUUGCAUAGAGGGAGAAUGGGAGUUGAUUUCUCCUUCGUGUAUUCCAUAGAGGAAAUAUAAGAUUCAUUUGACAGGAUGCAAAGCAGUACAGCUGUUGGGUGCUCUUGCUGCAAUGUUGCUGAUACGAACUGGAGUUCAUACUUAAUAUAUCGGAAAGUUCACGUCUUCCAUAUAAAAGAAGUCACAUGUUCUAUCAUUGGAGCUCGCUUUGUUUGUGUCCAAAUAUUAUUAGUGCACUAAUUCGGUCCGAGCGGUACACUCCAGUUGAUGGAACUACAACACUCACAUGCACUUGAGAAGCCCACUCGCAUCGUCCGAGCAUCUCAUGCAUAUACAACAAGGACUCCCUGAUCACAGCCAACCUGAUGAGGCAAUGCUGCAGAGGACGAGGACAUAAACGUGUUGCUAGCCCUACACUACUUCUUGAAAGUGGAUGCGGCUUAGCGGUCGCUCCAUGUCCAUGGCGUUUUCAAGCCCAAAUGUCGCGCCACGGUGGAGCAUCGCCAGGACGGGCAUGGCGCUGGCUUAGUGAAGCUCAUUGAUACUAAUUUGUGGAGUUAACUUCUCUAUUUGUGAAUUUCUUGUGUCCUGAUACUUCAAUUUAGACUAUUCCCACAAGAUGGAUUUUUAUUUGAGUCUACUAGAUGGAUUGUUUGUGAAGUUCGCUUCUGAUAUUUGCGCUGAUGGGUGGAUGACUUCUGUGUAUUAAUUAUGUGUGAAGUUCACUGUUAUGCAUCUAGGGGAGCAGUACACUUCUUUGUGAGGAAGAUGUUCAGUCACGUAUGAAAAAGUUUAUUUCUUCGGUAGGAAGUUGUGCAUUGAGUGAGCAUGUAGUGAGCAGGUGCCAGUUUAUGUGGUUUUGAAUUGCUACUUGGCUAUGCAUGA